rnacentral:tmRNA from 1 species
AUGUGCCGUUAACCGCGAUUCAACCUUUAGUAGGAUACGCUAGGCACUGCCGUUUGAAGUCUGCCUAGAAGAGAUUAAUCAAACUAGCAUAAUGAUGGCCGUCUAUCACUUACCAUUAUGCGAAACUUAAUGAUAGACUACACACGUAGAAAGAUCUGUAUCAGGACCUCUGGACGCGGGUUCGAAUCCCGCCGUCUCCAUAU